AUUGAACGCUGGCGGCAGGCCUAACACAUGCAAGUCGAACGAGUGGCGGACGGGUGAGUAAUGUCUGGGAAACUGCCUGAUGGAGGGGGAUAACUACUGGAAACGGUAGCUAAUACCGCAUACCAUCAGAUGUGCCCAGAUGGGAUUAGCUUGUUGGUGGGGUAACGGCUCACCAAGGCGACGAUCCCUAGCUGGUCUGAGAGGAUGACCAGCAACACUGGAACGGAGACACGGUCCGGACCCCUACGGGGGGCAGAGUGGGGAAAUAUUGCAAAAUGGGCGAAAGCUGGAGGCAGCCAGGCCGGGUGUAGGAAGAAGGCUUUCGGGUUGUAAAGUACUUUCGGCGGGGAGACGUUACCCGAAGAAGAAUCACCGGCUAACCCCGGGCCAGACCCCGCGGUAAUU
rnacentral:rRNA from 1 species